AACGAACGCUGGCGGCGUGCCUAACACAUGCAAGUCGAGCGAAUCAAAGGGAGCUUGCUCCCUGAGAUUAGCGGCGGACGGGUGAGUAACACGUGGGCAACCUGCCUAUAAGACUGGGAUAACUUCGGGAAACCGGAGCUAAUACCGGAUAAUUCAUAUCUACUCAUGUAGAUGUGCUGAAAGACGGUUUCGGCUGCCACUUAUAGAUGGGCCCGCGGCGCAUUAGCUAGUUGGUGAGGUAACGGCUCACCAAGGCGACGAUGCGUAGCCGACCUGAGAGGGUGAUCGGCCACACUGGGACUGAGACACGGCCCAGACUCCUACGGGAGGCAGCAGUAGGGAAUCUUCCGCAAUGGACGAAAGUCUGACGGAGCAACGCCGCGUGAGUGAUGAAGGUUUUCGGAUCGUAAAACUCUGUUGUUAGGGAAGAACAAGUACCAGAGUAACUGCUGGUACCUUGACGGUACCUAACCAGAAAGCCACGGCUAACUACGUGCCAGCCGCCGCGGUAACAC
rnacentral:rRNA from 1 species